GGAUUCAGUUCAAACUGAAUCAGAUCGACAGGGACCAAACAUCCGCCCAGAAUCAAAGCCUUUGGCCUGAUUGCGACAGUCGGCAAGACCAUGCCCUGGUCUUUGUUCAACAAGUGUUGAAGAUCAAUGCAGACAUCUCCAUCUCCAUUUUAGAAGAAGAUGUCAAGCCAUGGGUGACCAGGAACUAUGGACCAGAUGUCCAUCUUGUCCUUCAUCAAGACGGAGCAACUCCUCACAUCGCAAAGAACACUCGGGCUUGGUCAGAGCAUAACUUUACUUUCAGAUGAAGUUUGUUCUGCUUUUGAGCAUCGUUGCUAUUGGUUCGGAUUUAGUUCACUGUGGAUCCCUCACACAAGGCUCUGUAUGUCAAAUGACCAGCGAUUGUUUGCCCCAAUUCGUAUGUAACAAUUGGAAAGACAUAACAAAGAGAUGCCAACCCAAUAUCUGUCUCGGCGAAGGUGAGAAAUGUGGAUGGUUCAGAGGACGUUGUUGUACCUGCGAGAACGUGUAUUGCUAUAAGUCAGAUACAGACGAAGCAACCAAGUGCACUCCAUUGUGUGAAAUCCCAGCCUCAGAACGAAGCCAAGUGAUGUUAGCAAACGUUUGAAAACGACUUCAUUUCAAUGAUAAUUGGAAAAAUAAAAUAUGACUGAAGCAUCCCAAA